GAAGCCGGAAUUGCUAGUAAUGGCAGGUCAGCAUACUGCCGUGAAUACGUUCCCGGGCCCUUGUACACACCGCCCGUCACACCAUGAGAGUUGGGGAUACCCGAAGCCUGUGAGCUAACUAAUAGAGGCAGCAGUCGAAGGUAGAAUCAAUGAUUGGGGUGAAGUCGUAACAAGGUACC
rnacentral:rRNA from 1 species